rnacentral:rRNA from 1 species
UACGGAGGAUGCAAGCGUUAUCCGGAAUGAUUGGGCGUAAAGCGUCCGCAGGUGGCUGUGUAAGUCUGCUGUUAAAUAGUGAGGCUCAACCUCAUAAAGGCAGUGGAAACUACACGGCUAGAGUGCGUUCGGGGCAGAGGGAAUUCCUGGUGUAGCGGUGAAAUGCGUAGAUAUCAGGAAGAACACCGGUGGCGAAAGCGCUCUGCUAGGCCGCAACUGACACUGAGGGACGAAAGCUAGGGGAGCGAAUGGG